rnacentral:telomerase_RNA from 1 species
GAUCUGGGCGGUAGAGAUGUUGGUCUUUACCAAACGCUAACCCUGACUUUCGAUAUAUCUCCUCGUGUGUUGCUUGUUUUUAUGGUGGGGUUUCAGGCAAUAGGGGAGAGUUUAAAUAACUAAAGAACCCUACUCUGAGCGUUCUCUCGAAUGAUAUGCAUGCUUACAACAUUAAGUAAGGAUACAAUCUAUUUUCACUUGGCCGGAUUAGGCCACCCUCGGUCCGGCCAGUAUCUCCUAGUCGGGUUCUUUCCAGCUGAGUUCGUCCCAGCGGUGGCUCGUGGGGAGAUAUCAAUGUAAUGGAAGUAGGUUGUGUUCUGUGUUCAGAUUAAACUGCCAGCAUACAUAUGUCGCCACGUAAGAUGUCGA